rnacentral:rRNA from 1 species
UGGGGAAUAUUGCACAAUGGGGAAGACCCUGAUCCAGCGACGCCGCGUGAGUGAAGAAGUAUUUCGGUAUGUAAAGCUCUAUCAGCAGGGAAGAAAUCAUGACGGUACCUGACUAAGAAGCCCGCUACUACGUGCCAGCAGCCGCGGUAAUACGUAGGGGCGAAGCGUUAUCCGGAUUUACUGGGUGUAAAGGGAGCGUAGACGGCAAGGCAAGUCUGAUGUGAAAACCCAGGGCUUAACUCUGGGACUGCAUUGGAAACUGUCUGGCUCGAGUGCCGGAGAGGUAAGCGGAAUUCCUAGUGUAGCGGUGAAAUGCGUAGAUAUUAGGAAGAACACCAGUGGCGAAGGCGGCUUACUGGACGGUAACUGACGUUGAGGCACGAAAGCGUGGGGAUCAAACAGGAUUAGAUACC